rnacentral:lncRNA from 1 species
UUUAGACCAAUCAGGAUCCAGGACUUUAGCUUGCGACCGGCGUCUCUGUUGUCUGAGAAGGAAAGCCGACCCCUAGGAGUUGCCAGUAACGGGCAUGGCUGCAGUCCUUGGAGGAGGGGAUGUGAAGUGAGGAGGGGGCAGGGAGGGGAGAGGACGCAGGCGAAGAAGGACACCCCGGGCCCUGAUACUCACACCUACCCUCGGCCCUGGCUUGGCCCCUUGGGGGUCCUGCGUCAGACAUCGAAGCCUCCCGCCAACAAAGACUCCCUGCCCCAGGAUUGCUGUGGCUGGGCCCUGGCCCAGAGGGCUUCCGACGCUGGUGUCCAGUGUAUUUAUAGAUCUCCGGGAGUCCCCAUCCUGGCCCCAGUUCCGACGGUUGUUCCCCCUGCGCGCGCUCUCCUCUGCCGCCCGGGCCCUUGUGCUGAUCGUGUCCCCUGUGUCCAGGUGGAUGGAGCCGGAGGGGCUUUUCAACCCUCAGCAGUUUGGAGCGUGCCCUGCCUUUUUUUACGCCCUCUUCCGCCUUUCCAGAAUGUUUAAAGACUCAUUCGAAGCAACCAGGGGAAUAUUGUUUGCCACCCCAUAAACUGAUCUCUGUGCGGUGCUCUGUUCCUCUGCUGCUCACCGCUGAAGUCCUGUUCUUAGAAUCCCUCGCGAGCGGUGGUACGAGUCCCUGCCAAUGCCAGCAGCGAGGGAAACCCUGCUCUUUCAUUGGUGUGUGACCACGGGCUGCUUUGGCGCGGGCAUGGGUUUGGUCACGUGUUGCUACAUCCCACCCUCUUUUUCGUGUGUGGCUCUUGGGGAAAAGUAAGAGGGAGCUCUGCCUUGAAUCUGUUUUCCUUCUACUAUGUGAUUUUUGUGCCGGGGGGACGAUGAUCAUUUUCUCAUGCUUUAUCCAAGACACUCGUUUCAGCGGCGGUGACAGUUCAGUUGACCCUGCAUAGUCUUAGAAGAUGGGCAUCGGGAGGGAAUUUUAACAUUUUCUCUGUUACAGAUGUGGAACCUAAUAA